GGUUUGUUUGUUUUUCCUUAAGCACAAAGCAACACAAUGAACCAUCUGUACUUUGCCCAUGACGGGUAUCAAAACCCGGUUUCUAGCGUUGUAAGUCCGCAAAC